rnacentral:rRNA from 1 species
UACGUAGGGUGCGAGCGUUGUCCGGAAUUAUUGGGCGUAAAGAGCUUGUAGGCGGUUUGUCGCGUCUGCUGUGAAAAUCCGGGGCUCAACCCCGGACUUGCAGUGGGUACGGGCAGACUAGAGUGUGGUAGGGGAGACUGGAAUCCUGGUGUAGCGGUGGAAUGCGCAGAUAUCAGGAGGAACACCGAUGGCGAAGGCAGGUCUCUGGGCCACUACUGACGCUGAGAAGCGAAAGCAUGGGGAGCGAACAGG